AUUGAACGCUGGCGGCAGGCCUAACACAUGCAAGUCGAGCGGAUGAAGGGAGCUUGCUCCUGGAUUCAGCGGCGGACGGGUGAGUAAUGCCUAGGAAUCUGCCUGGUAGUGGGGGAUAACGUCCGGAAACGGGCGCUAAUACCGCAUACAUCCUGAGGGAGAACGUGGGGGAUCUUCGGACCUCACGCUAUCAGAUGAGCCUAGGUCGGAUUAGCUAGUUGGUGGGGUAAAGGCCUACCAAGGCGACGAUCCGUAACUGGUCUGAGAGGAUGAUCAGUCACACUGGAACUGAGACACGGUCCAGACUCCUACGGGAGGCAGCAGUGGGGAAUAUUGGACAAUGGGCGAAAGCCUGAUCCAGCCAUGCCGCGUGUGUGAAGAAGGUCUUCGGAUUGUAAAGCACUUUAAGUUGGGAGGAAGGGCAGUAAGUGAAUACCUUGCUGUUUUGACGUUACCAACAGAAUAAGCACCGGCUAACUUCGUG
rnacentral:rRNA from 1 species